AUGAGUGGAUCAAGUUAAAGGUGUUUAUUGGAGUUCUAGUUCAUUUACUUUGAGAAAAUUAGAGUGUUUAAGGCAGCCUCUUGGGGCUCUGAAUACAUUAGCAUGGGAUAAUAGAAUAGGAUUUAGAUUUUAUAUUUGUUGGUUUGAAUUAUCUAAAUAAUGAUUAAUAGGGACAGUUGGGGGUAUUUAUAUUGGAUGGUUAGCGGUGAAAUGCAUGGAUCCAUUCAAGAUAAACUAAAGCGAAAGCAUUUACCAAGGAUGUUUUCAUUAAUCAAG
rnacentral:rRNA from 1 species